CUUCCUAUAAGCCGAAGAAAGAAUUUGGCAAAAGGUGCUUCGGCCACAGUGGUGCCGAGUGCUGUGGAACAAUCUUCCUUAUGAGGCAAAAAAUGAGUGAAAUCACUGCAUUCAUAAGGGACUGGUAAUACAAAAUUUAUUGUCAUUUCCAAAGCAUGACUCACGCAAAUAUUGAAGACUAAAAAGCAAUGUCAACACUCAACACAGUCAUGCAUGUGUCAAUGCA